UCGAGGAUCUUCGGCAAUGCGCGCAAGCGCGACCGAGCGACGCCGCGUGUGCGACGAAGGCCUUCGGGUUGUAAAGCACUGUCGAGGGGGAGGAAACCCGCAAGGGCUGACCGAUCCCUGGAGGAAGCUCGGGCUAAGUUCGUGCCAGCAGCCGCGGUAAGACGAACCGAGCGAACGUUGUUCGGAAUCACUGGGCUUAAAGGGCGCGUAGGCGGGCUGCCGCGUCCGGGGUGAAAUCCUCCGGCUCAACCGGGGAAGGGCCUCGGGUACGGGCGGCCUCGAGGGGGGUAGGGGCGUGCGGAACUGUGGGUGGAGCGGUGAAAUGCGUUGAUAUCCACAGGAACUCCGGUGGCGAAGGCGGCACGCUGGACCCUCCCUGACGCUGAGGCGCGAAAGCCAGGGGAGCGAACG
rnacentral:rRNA from 1 species